AGAGUUUGAUCCUGGCUCAGGACGAACGCUGGCGGCGUGCUUAACACAUGCAAGUCGAACGGAAAGGCCUCAAGCUUGCUUGGGGUACUCGAGUGGCGAACGGGUGAGUAAUACGUGAGUAACCUGCCUUCUUCUUUGGGAUAAGCCUGGGAAACUGGGUCUAAUACUGGAUAUUCUGCUUCUGCCGCAUGGUGGGGGUUGGAAAGGUUUUUCUGGUGGGGGAUGGGCUCACGGCCUAUCAGCUUGUUGGUGGGGUGAUGGCCUACCAAGGCGGUGACGGGUAGCCGGCCUGAGAGGGUGACCGGCCACAUUGGGACUGAGAUACGGCCCAGACUCCUACGGGAGGCAGCAGUGGGGAAUAUUGCACAAUGGACGGAAGUCUGAUGCAGCGACGCCGCGUGGGGGAUGAAGGCUUUCGGGUUGUAAACUCCUUUUGAUGCUGAACAAGGCUCUUUUUAGGGUUGAGGGUAGGUGUUGAAUAAGCGCCGGCUAACUACGUGCCAGCAGCCGCGGUAAUACGUAGGGCGCGAGCGUUGUCCGGAAUUAUUGGGCGUAAAGGGCUCGUAGGCGGUUUGUCGCGUCUGCUGUGAAAGACCGGGGCUUAACUCCGGGGUUGCAGUGGGUACGGGCAGACUAGAGUGCGGUAGGGGUAGCUGGAAUUCCUGGUGUAGCGGUGGAAUGCGCAGAUAUCAGGAGGAACACCGAUGGCGAAGGCAGGUUACUGGGCCGUUACUGACGCUGAGGAGCGAAAGCAUGGGGAGCGAACAGGAUUAGAUACCCUGGUAGUCCAUGCUGUAAACGUUGGACACUAGGUGUGGGGCCUUUUCCAUGGGUUCUGCGCCGUAGCUAACGCAUUAAGUGUCCCGCCUGGGGAGUACGGUCGCAAGGCUAAAACUCAAAGGAAUUGACGGGGACCCGCACAAGCGGCGGAGCAUGCGGAUUAAUUCGACGCAACGCGAAGAACCUUACCAAGGCUUGACAUACACUGGAAGACUGCAGAGAUGUGGUUGCCUUCGGGCUGGUGUACAGGUGGUGCAUGGUUGUCGUCAGCUCGUGUCGUGAGAUGUUGGGUUAAGUCCCGCAACGAGCGCAACCCUUGUCUUGUGUUGCCAUCACUUCGGGUGGGGACUCANCACUGGUCUAGUGAUUCUGCGCCGACA
rnacentral:rRNA from 1 species